UCCACGCCGUAAACGAUGUCGACUUGGAGGUUGUUCCCUUGAGGAGUGGCUUCCGGAGCUAACGCGUUAAGUCGACCGCCUGGGGAGUACGGCCGCAAGGUUAAAACUCAAAUGAAUUGACGGGGGCCCGCACAAGCGGUGGAGCAUGUGGUUUAAUUCGAUGCAACGCGAAGAACCUUACCUACUCUUGACAUCCACCGAACUCCGCAGAGAUGCCUUCGUGCCUUCGGGAACUCUGAGACAGGUGCUGCAUGGCUGUCGUCAGCUCGUGUUGUGAAAUGUUGGGUUAAGUCCCGCAACGAGCGCAACCCUUAUCCUUUCUUGCCAGCACGUAACGGUGGGAACUCAAAGGAGACUGCCGGUGAUAAACCGGAGGAAGGUGGGGAUGACGUCAAGUCAUCAUGGCCCUUACGAGUAGGGCUACACACGUGCUACAAUGGCGCAUACAAAGAGAAGCGACCUCGCGAGAGCAAGCGGACCUCACAAAGUGCGUCGUAGUCCGGAUCGGAGUCUGCAACUCGACUCCGUGAAGUCGGAAUCGCUAGUAAUCGUGGAUCAGAAUGCCACGGUGAAUACGUUCCCGGGCCUUGUACACACCGCCCGUCACACCAUGGGAGUGGGUUGCAAAAGAAGUAGGUAGCUUAACCUU
rnacentral:rRNA from 1 species